AAAAGAGCUAAAUCCAGAGAACUUCAGUGAAAUCACUCCAUUGCCAAAACCUCAAAAUGAUCUCACUAACAAGCUGGAUAUCAGUCCUAACAACAUUUCUUCUUUUCUUACAUUUUUGGACAGCAAAUGUCUAUGCCUCUGGAAAUUCAGAGGAGGAAAUAGAGUCAGAUGGCAAAAUGGAUAGAAGGUCAAAUAUGGGAUCAAGUCAGAACAGAGAAGACGUCAACAUAUCAGGGCAAAAAAGUACAAACGAUCAAUAAUCCUUUUGCAAUCGACAGUUACCUAGUCUGAGGAUCAAUGGAAACCUCUUGUCCACAGGCAGGAAUCUCACCAAUAAUAAUUCCUUUGCUUGUUCUGUAAUUGAAAGACUGACUGAUUGAUUACAGGAAGAGUUUACAGUGUAUGCUAACUUCAAUCAUCUGCACACAAAAAGCCUGCAAUCCCCAAUACCAUGGAUAUGAACAAAAUGUAUGAGGAAAAUAGAAAAGAUGAGGUCUUCUCAUUAAUAGGCCCUGUUUAGCCUGGUAUAAGUAUAUGAUUGAUUUCUAAAAUCAGUUAAAUCCAGAGUAAUCAAAAAGCUAGCAAUACAUUUCAGCAGCAGAAUUCAUAACCACACUUGUACUUCCAGUAAGGCAAAUAAUGAAUGAAGUGACUCAGAAAAGCAGUCAUCUGACGUCAAGCAAAACAAGAUUUCUCAAGUUUUUCAGGAAAAAUAUUUUGUGUUGAUCUAAAAAUAUUUCAUUUAUGCUAAAGUGAUAUCUCUUUUUAACUUUAGGAUUGGCUUCUUUUAUUUAACUUUAGGCCGUGAUGCUAAUUUCAGUAAUUUUAAAUGAACUGGGGUCAUUUAAAAUGAAAAAUACCACUUUGAAAUAAAGUUUUAAUGUUUUGGUUUUAGAACCUUGAA
rnacentral:lncRNA from 1 species